rnacentral:rRNA from 1 species
AACGUAGGAGACAAACGUUAUCCGGAGUUACUGGGCGUAAAGGGCGUGUAGGUGGUUUCGUAAGUCUGGCGUGAAAUUUUUCGGCUUAACCGGGAAAGGUCGUCGGAUACUGCGGAGCUAGAGGACGGUAGAGGCGUGUGGAAUUCCGGGUGUAGCGGUGGAAUGCGUAGAGAUCCGGAAGAACACCGGUGGCGAAGGCGGCCUGCUGGGCAGUUGCUGACACUGAUGCGCGACAGCGUGGGGAGCAAACAGG